UGGAUGAACGCUAGCUACAGGCUUAACACAUGCAAGUCGAGGUGCAUCGGGAAGAAAGCUUGCUUUCUUUGCCGGCGACCGGCGCACGGGUGAGUAACACGUAUCCAACCUGCCCUUUACUCGGGGAUAGCCUUUCGAAAGAAAGAUUAAUACCCGAUAGCAUAAUGAUUCCGCAUGGUUUCAUUAUUAAAGGAUUCCGGUAAAGGAUGGGGAUGCGUUCCAUUAGGUUGUUGGUGGGGUAACGGCCCACCAAGCCUUCGAUGGAUAGGGGUUCUGAGAGGAAGGUCCCCCACAUUGGAACUGAGACACGGUCCAAACUCCUACGGGAGGCAGCAGUGAGGAAUAUUGGUCAAUGGGCGCUAGCCUGAACCAGCCAAGUAGCGUGAAGGAUGAAGGCUCUAUGGGUCGUAAACUUCUUUUAUAUAAGAAUAAAGUGCAGUAUGUAUACUGUUUUGUAUGUAUUAUAUGAAUAAGGAUCGGCUAACUCCGUGCCAGCAGCCGCGGUAAUACGGAGGAUCCGAGCGUUAUCCGGAUUUAUUGGGUUUAAAGGGAGCGUAGGUGGACUGGUAAGUCAGUUGUGAAAGUUUGCGGCUCAACCGUAAAGUUGCAGUUGAUACUGUCAGUCUUGAGUACAGUAGAGGUGGGCGGAAUUCGUGGUGUAGCGGUGAAAUGCUUAGAUAUCACGAAGAACUCCGAUUGCGAAGGCAGCUCACUGGACUGCAACUGACACUGAUGCUCGAAAGUGUGGGUAUCAAACGGGAUUAGAUACCCUGGUAGUCCACACAGUAAACGAUGAAUACUCGCUGUUUGCGAUAUACAGUAAGCGGCCAAGCGAAAGCAUUAAGUAUUCCACCUGGGGAGUACGCCGGCAACGGUGAAACUCAAAGGAAUUGACGGGGGCCCGCACAAGCGGAGGAACAUGUGGUUUAAUUCGAUGAUACGCGAGGAACCUUACCCGGGCUUAAAUUGCAGUGGAAUGAUGUGGAAACAUGUCAGUGAGCAAUCACCGCUGUGAAGGUGCUGCAUGGUUGUCGUCAGCUCGUGCCGUGAGGUGUCGGCUUAAGUGCCAUAACGAGCGCAACCCUUAUCUUUAGUUACUAACAGGUUAUGCUGAGGACUCUAGAGAGACUGCCGUCGUAAGAUGUGAGGAAGGUGGGGAUGACGUCAAAUCAGCACGGCCCUUACGUCCGGGGCUACACACGUGUUACAAUGGGGGGUACAGAAGGCAGCUAGCGGGUGACCGUAUGCUAAUCCCAAAAUCCUCUCUCAGUUCGGAUCGAAGUCUGCAACCCGACUUCGUGAAGCUGGAUUCGCUAGUAAUCGCGCAUCAGCCACGGCGCGGUGAAUACGUUCCCGGGCCUUGUACACACCGCCCGUCAAGCCAUGGGAGCCGGGGGUACCUGAAGUACGUAACCGCAAGGAUCGUCCUAGGGUAA
rnacentral:rRNA from 1 species